CAGUUUGCACACAUUAUGAGCAGUUUUUGUGCAGAACUCCUGAGUCGUCAUAGUUCUGUGGAGAUGACGCUUUUAUUCUGAAGGAUCUGUGCAGGAAGUGGUGCUGUUGUUGCAUCAGUACCAAGUAGGAGUGUCUCCAUCUCCGUUAUAUGAGACGUUGUGAUGUUAAAGUGAUGUUUGAUCUUUAGGAGACAUCGACAGAGAUGGAGCUUCUUCCUCUUCUGUGUCUCUGCCUCCUGACUCGCUCUGGAAUCACGUCUGCUGGUGAAAACGAUGCGUUCUU